ensembl:ncRNA C17G1.11 ncRNA
UGCAGAACAAAAUGAGAAGAAGAAGAACAGUGAGGUAAUCGCCUAUGUCACCCUCUUCCUCCUGUUCUCCUCCUUCUCCUCCUCUUCUUCUACCAGCCUGUGGGCGAAGACGAAGAAGAAGAAGGCCAAG